rnacentral:lncRNA from 1 species
GAUUAAAAACUCCUCUUCCCCUAUGAGCCACCGGUACUGCCCCUCUAGAUGGCUCUUAGUGUCAUUUCCUGUUUCCUCCCAAGCCAGGAUUCACUUUCUCAAUGCAGUCAGCCUGCUGGCCAGUGACUCUAGUCAGAUGCUUUUUAGUGGCUCAGGGAACUUGCACAGGGCUCUGGUUUAAAUUUGGAAAAUGCUUGAGCUGGGAGAACUGAUUCCUGGUCUUUCCCCUUCUCCCAAGUUAGCUGAGCCAAAUGCACAUCAGUGAGGGGUUCAGACACCACACUCUCCCAGAAAGAGUGAGAGGCAGGAGUGUGUUGGAGGUGGUGCAGGUGAGAACGGCCCCCCAAAGUCCUCUGCAUUUCUCAGCUCUUGCUGUGGGCCAGGCCUUUGCUGAGGACAUGAUUACAGCUAUUAGCUCUAAUUUUUGCCAUAACCCCUGGGUGACUGGUAAGUACAUUUCACAUUAGAAGAGCAGCCUGGGAAAGUAAGAGACUUAGAGCAUCACCCAGCUACCAUGUGGUGACACCUGUCUUUCACCUGAGUGCUGUCUAAUUCCUGAGCCCACGCUGCUACUUCUGCCUGGUGGUUGGCUCAGGCAGAGUGGUGCUCACAGCCCCUGCCUGAGGACGCUUCUGACGGGGGAUUUGUCAUCCGUGGGAAAUGCGCCUGGCUCCUAGGGUCCACUUCCAGCUCUCCCGGUGACUGUCAGCUGAGGCCAGGUGCCUGGAACGCAAGCUGCUGCCGUCCCCUUAACACCUGUCUCCGGCUGGGGCGGCCUCCUGAUUUCCAAGGUGGAGGAGUGCCUGAGGUCAGGCGACUUGCCCGAGGUUCCAGCGUCACCUCUGCCAUCCUGGGCGUUCUGGGAACAAGUCAGGAGUAGCGUCUUGAGCAUUCUGUGCAAAAAAGCCCAGAGCAGCGCUGCAUUCGCACUCCUGCCCAGCCCAGCUUGCACCCUCAGUCUGUUCCCAUCUUCACAGAGGCCACGUGCUGCUGCUGUCAUUCUGUCUGCCUGGAAUACGGCCCUCAAGGACAGCUCUUCCUCAAGGGGAGGCAGAGGGCCCAGGAAAGACAAGGCUGGGAGGGUCCAGGGAAUGGAACGUGCAGGGUUCCCCAGAGCACCACGUUCUGGCACGUGUGUCUGGCGUGUGGCUCACAGGAUGCGGAUGCUGGCUGCUCAGGAGAAAAACCAGGGGGGAGUGGCUUCCAACCUUGUCCACUCCCCACUGCUCCCCAUGGUGGAUCCGAGUCAUCCGCUCUCCGACCAGGGCCUGGAGCCCUCCCUGGUUCUCCGCGCUGCUGAUGGCUGCCUGUUUUCUUCUCUGGUUGGCCAGCAAGGUUGGGAUAUUUCAGAAGCAUUUUCUACUCGGAAACUCAGGGAGACAGAAACUGGAUGAGAAAGCAGCUGGUUACCAAUCCCAACACUUAGCUAAGUGACAGCUUUGGACAAGCAGGCUGGCCUGUCUUCCUCCCCGAUGACCGAUUUUAUGUGCAGUCCUGGCUAGGGAACGGCACUCCAGCACCAGUCUCCAUGGUACAGAGAAGGUAUUUCUAAGAUGUGAUUAACAUUUAAAUCAGUA